GUACCCGCUGAACUUAAGCAUAUCAAUAAGCGGAGGAAAAGAAACCAACAGGGAUUGCCUCAGUAACGGCGAGUGAAGCGGCAACAGCUCAAAUUUUAAAGCUGGCGUCCUCGACGCCCGCGUUGUAAUUUGGAGAGGCAUCUUCGGUUUGGGCGCCAGCCUAUGUUCCUUGGAACAGGACGUCACAGAGGGUGAGAAUCCCGUGCUUGGCUGGCUGUCCCUCUCCAUGUGAAGUGUCUUCGACGAGUCGAGUUGUUUGGGAAUGCAGCUCAAAAUGGGUGGUAAAUUUCAUCUAAAGCUAAAUAUUGGCGGGAGACCGAUAGCGCACAAGUAGAGUGAUCGAAAGAUGAAAAGCACUUUGAAAAUAGAGUUAAAAAGUACGUGAAAUUGUUGAAAGGGAAGCGCUUGAGACCAGACUCGGCCGGAGACGAUCAGCGGUCCUUUUGGGCCGUGCACUCGUCCUCGGUCGGGCCAGCAUCGGUUGAGACGGCGGGAUAAAGGUCCGGGGAAUGUGGCUCCUUUCGGGGAGUGUUAUAGCCCCGGGCGCAAUGCCGCCAGCCUCGACCGAGGACCGCGCUUUUUUGCUAGGAUGCUGGCGUAAUGGUCUUCAGCGACCCGUCUUGAAACACGGACC
rnacentral:rRNA from 2 species